GUUAGUGCCUAAAAGGGGCUAAUUCAUCAGGGAAAAUGUGUGGAAGCUGAUGGAGACAAUGAGCUGGAUCCCAUAUAGCUGAGGAUGGAAGAGAUGACUGGACAACUGGGGUUUCUAUUCCCUGCUAAGUGUCUCGUUUCAAUGGGAAGAAUCCAGCAGUGCCAAGAAGCCUGAAAGGCCCACAAAAGAGAGGAUCCACUCAAAGUGCUGAACCACAGAGAUUUUUUCAUUUAUCAAAAAGAAUGACUUGGAAAUGAAGUGUGUUGGGGAAUAAUCAAAACAGAAGAGAUACGAAAGAUUGUUGAAAGUCAGCUUGGCCAGAUGGCUAUAUGUGGGAAUUAGAAUCAGACAGAGGAGAUUCCCAGCCAACAAAUACAGAUAGACAUCAGCAAUGACAUCCCGGAAAUAGGUGAAUUUGGCUACUUAAUGUGGUUCUGAUAACCUGGCAGCAGACUUGGUCUGUGAAGUGCCUAGGCUAAUGGAUAGAAGAUAAAGAUUGGUGGAAUUCAAAUCCAUGAAAAUUUAGUUAACAGCUAAACAUCCUAAUCAACUGGCUUCAAUCUACUUCUCCCACUGAUGCGGGGAGAAAGGCGGGAGAAGCCCCGCCUUUUGAUUGAAGCUGCUCCUUUGAAUUUGCAAUUCAACAUGAGAAAUCACUUCAGAAAUCACCUCAACUGAGAAAUCACCUAUACUCAACUGAGAAAUCAUCUCAUACUCAACUGAGAAAUCACCUCAUACUCAACUGAGAAAUCACCUCAUACUCAACUGAGAAAUCACCUCAUACUCAACUGAGAAAUCACCUCAUUCUCAACUGAGAAAUCACCUCAUUCUCAACUGAGAAAUCACCUCAUACUCAACUCAGAGAUCACCUCAUACUCAACUGAGAGAUCACCUCAUUCUCAACUGAGAGAUCACCUCAUUCUCAACUGAGAGAUCACCUCAUACUCAACUGAGAGAUCACCUCAUUCUCAACCAGAAAUCACCUCAUACUCAACUGAAAAAUCACCUCAUACUCAACUGAGAAAUCACCUCAUACUCAACUGAUCAAUCACCUCAGUUGAGUAUUUUUUCAUGUAGUUGUUGGCAGCUUGCAUGUCUUACUUGAAAAAUGUCCAUCUACUCAUCCACUUUUUUUUUUUUUUUUUUUUUUUUUGAGACAGAGUCUUGCUCUGUCAUCCAGGCUGGAGUGCAGUGGCAUGAUCUCUGCUCACUGCAAGCUCUGCCGCCCUGGUUCAAGUGAUUCUCCUGCCUCAGGCUACUGAGUAGCUGGGAUUACAGGCACGCGCCACCACACCCGGCUAAUUUUUGUAUUUUUAGUAAAGACGGGGUUUCACCAUGUUGGUCAGGUUGGUCUCAAACUCCUGACUUUGUGAUCCGCCCUCCUAGGCCUCCCAAAUGCUGGGAUUACAAGCGUGAGCCACUGCGCCUGGCCGUUCAUCUACUUUUUAAUGGGCAUGAGGCAAUCACAGAGGAUCACAGGUUGAGAGGGGAGUGAUGGUAAUAUCAAUCCUUCCAGCUGUUUUUUUCCUAUGGAAUGUUUCAGCUCCUGGCCAGAAAUACUCUUUACAAUUAUCUUUCUAUUUCCAGUAAUCUUUUUCCUUUCCUUUCCCUUUAAGGUCAAGGGUAGAAGGGCUCUUCCUUAUUGGUAGCACAGGGUUCUGUUCCUUUUCCCAUAUGCCUGCUCACACUCUGAUAAAUAGUUCCUUUAUUAGAAUCUCCAAUUGCCUAGUUUGAGUGUACUUAUUUCCUGUUGGAAUCCUGAAGAAUACACCUAGAAAUAGGCCUCAUUCCCCUUCUGUGGGUGAUAAUACUGAGGCUUUCAAAGACUACCCAGUGUAAUACAAAACAGCAGGAAUUUCAAGCUGGAUAGCCAUGGGUUCAAAUGCUGUGUAUGUUUGAGCCAAUUACUUAAAUGCCUUUCUAGCUGUAGGAGUCAUGUAAACUCAUUUUUAGCUGUGUAAGUUUAAGUAAGUUAUUUAAACUGUCUAAGGUUCAAGUAAGUUUAAGUAAGUUAUUUAAACACUAAGGCUCAGUGUUCCCUCCUAAAACAAAGCCCCAACCUUAUGGGAUUUAUGAAUUAUAAAUGAUAAUGCAUUUAUAGUAAUCAUCAGAGUACCAGGCACUGAGUGGUUAAUAAAAAAAUGUUAGAGUCAUGAUUAAAAAAUUCCUAUAGGUUAUAGUCUUUGGCAAAACUUUGGAUGUAGUUUGGCAAUUUCUGAUUACGUGUCAGUGGUCUCUUUGAAGGCCAAACUUUCUUAUUUUUAUUGUUUUGCAAGUGAAUUUUUGUAUUAAAAGAUAAGAUUCUGAUAAGUAAGUGCAUUAAAAUAUAAAAUUCUGAUAGAUUUUUGUUUGUUGUUGUUUUAGUCUUUGUUUUUUUUCUGAAAAUUUAGUUACGGAAUUACGUUUUAACUUUCAAGAGAUAUCUCUAUUUUUCACAGUACAAAACUUAAACAAACAUUAUGAAAACAAAAUCUUUCUAUUAGUCUUCGAAUUUAAAUAGUUUCUUGGCAGGUUGGUCUGGUGUGUGUGUAUGUAUAUAUAGAUAUAUAUAUAUAUAUUUUUUUUUUCUUGAGGCAGAGUCUUGCUCUGUUGCCCAGGCUGGUGUGCAGUGGUGUGAUCUUGGCUCACUGCAACCUCUGCCUCCCGGGUUCAAGAAAUUCUCAUGCCUCAGCCUCCCAAGUAGCUGGGACCACAGGUGUGUGCCACCAUGACCAGCUAAUUUUUGUAUUUUUAGUAGAGACGGGGUUUCGCUAUGUUGGCCAGGCUGGUCUCAAACUUGUGACCUCAAGUGAUCUGCCCACCUCGGCCCCCCAAAGGGCUGGGAUUACAGGCGUGAGCCACCACACUUGGCCUGGUGUAGAAAUUUUUAAUCAAAAUGAUUUUUAUGAGGAUUACAGCAAUCAUUGUUACUACAUCUUCCUUUCUGGUGGACAGUGGAGGGGAUAGGGUCUCACUCUGUCACCCAGGCUGGUGUGCAGAUCAUGGCUUACUGCAGCCUCAAACUCCCAGGCCCAGGUAAUUCUCCCACCUCAGCCUCCUGAGUAGCUGGGACUACAGGCAUGCAUCACCACGCUUGGCUAAUUUUCUUUAUUUUUUGCAGACAGGGUGCCUUGCUAUGUUGCCCAGGCUGGUCUCAAACUUCUGGGCUCAAGCAAUCCUCCUGCCUCAGCCUUCCAGAGUGCUGGUAUUACAGACUUGGACCACCAUGCUGAGCUCUACCUCUUUCUUUCCUUCCUUCCUUCCUUCCCUCCCUCCCUCUUUCUUUCUCUCUCUCUCUUUCUUUCUUUCCUUUCUUCUUUCUUUCUUCUUUCUUUCUCUUUCUUUUUCUUUCUUCCCUUUCCUUUCUUUCUCUUCUUUCUUUCUUUUUCUCUCUUUCUUCCUCUCUCCCUCUCUCUUUCUCUCUCUCUCUCUCCCUUUCUCCCCUCCCUCCAUUCGUUCGUUCCUUCCUUCCUUCCUUCCUUCCUUCCUGAGUUUCACUCUUGUUGCCUCAGCUGGAGUGCAAUGGCACGAUCUCAGCUAACCACAACCUCCACCUCCUGGGUUCAAGCGAUUCUCCUGCCUCAGCCUAACGAGUAGCUGGGAUUACAGGCAUGCACCACC
rnacentral:lncRNA from 10 species